GGCUUUGUAGCUCAGAUGGUAGAGCAGUGGACAUGUAACCCGAAGGUCAUGGAUUUGAAUCCCACCUGAGCCA